GACGAACGCUGGCGGCGUGCUUAACACAUGCAAGUCGAACGGUGAAGCGCCUUCCUUUUUGGUGGGUGUGGAUGAGUGGCGAACGGGUGAGUAACACGUGAGUAACCUGCCCCCUUCUUCUGGAUAACCGCAUGAAAGUGUGGCUAAUACGGGAUAUUCUGGGUCUGUCGCAUGAUGGGUCUGGGAAAGAUAUUGUUUCGGUGGGGGAUGGGCUCGCGGCCUAUCAGCUUGUUGGUGGGGUGAUGGCCUACCAAGGCGGUGACGGGUAGCCGGCCUGAGAGGGUGGACGGUCACACUGGGACUGAGACACGGCCCAGACUCCUACGGGAGGCAGCAGUGGGGAAUAUUGCACAAUGGGCGCAAGCCUGAUGCAGCGACGCCGCGUGAGGGAUGGAGGCCUUCGGGUUGUGAACCUCUUUCGCCAGUGAAGUAGGCCUGCCUCGUUUGUGGGUGGGUUGACGGUAGCUGGAGAAGAAGCGCCGGCUAACUACGUG
rnacentral:rRNA from 1 species